rnacentral:tRNA from 1 species
GUGCCUAUGGUGUAACGGUUAGCACAUCAGUUUGUGGUACUGAUAGCGAGGGUUCGACUCCCUCUAGGCACCCCA